rnacentral:rRNA from 1 species
GCAAGUCUGGUGCCAGCAGCCGCGGUAAUUCCAGCUCCAAUAGCGUAUAUUAAAGUUGUUGCAGUUAGAAAGCUCGUAGUUGAAUUUCGGGAUCAAUAUUUCGGUCAUGCCGUUGGUAUGCACUGUUAUCAUUGAUUUCUCACCUUCUAAAGAACCAUAAUGCCAUUAAUUUGGUGUUACGGGGAAUUAGGACUGUUACCUUGAAAAAAUUAGAGUGUUUAAAGCAGGCUCACGCUUGAAUACAUUAGCAUGGAAUAAUGAAAUAGGACAUCCGAUUCUAUUUUGUUGGUUUCUAGGAUCGAUGUAAUGAUUAAUAGGGAUAGUUGGGGGCAUUAGUAUUCAAUUGUCAGAGGUGAAAUUCUUGGAUUUAUUGAAGACUAACUACUGCGAAAGCAUUUGCCAAGGAUGUUUUCAUUAAUCAAGAACGAAAGUUAGGGGAUCGAAGACGAUCAGAUACCGUCGUAGUCUUAACCAUAAACUAUGCCGACUAGGGAUCGGAUGAUGUUAAUUUUUUAAUGACUCAUUCGGCGCCUUACGGGAAAC